CAAAAUAUAAUUUACAUUGUUUUAUCAUGAUAUAGGUAAUGUGAAAAGUGAAAUGCUAGAACUUUUAUUCCUCAUUGUAUAUUUGAUAAGUUUUUAUGACAUUGACACCCUUAAAAAUUUUUUUUUAGCUUAACUACACUCUCUUAUGUCAUUUAUGAAUGUAUGAUAUUUAUCCUUCAAAAUAUAUAAACAAUGAGUACAAUUAAUCAUUUUUCAAAUUAAUUUUAUGUAUAAUAUUGGCACCCUCAAGAAAAAUUUUCUGGUUCUGUCCUGAACGCAUCAUCUUUUUCACCUGGCUAAUAUAUCUUUCUUUAUGGUUUAUUAGCUAAUCUGCUUGAUAUAUUUUUGCAAAUUUUUGAAAAUCCUCCAGCUGCUGCACCCAUUUCUUCCUUUUUCCUCAGGUAGCUUGUGAAGAAUUGAGAA
rnacentral:misc_RNA from 1 species